rnacentral:rRNA from 1 species
UGGGGAAUAUUGCGCAAUGGGCGAAAGCCUGACGCAGCGACGCCGCGUGAGGGAUGAAGGCUUUCGGAUCGUAAACCUCUGUCAGAAGGGAAGAAACCGCACUGUGCUAAUCAGCAGUGCCUUGCCGGUACCUUCAAAGGAAGCACCGGCUAACUCCGUGCCAGCAGCCGCGGUAAUACGGAGGGUGCAAGCGUUAAUCGGAAUUACUGGGCGUAAAGCGCACGUAGGCUGCUUUGUAAGUCAGGGGUGAAAUCCCACGGCUCAACCGUGGAACUGCCUUUGAUACUGCUUAGCUUGAAUCCGGGAGAGGGUGGCGGAAUUCCAGGUGUAGGAGUGAAAUCCGUAGAUAUCUGGAGGAACAUCAGUGGCGAAGGCGGCCAACUGGACCGGUAUUGACGCUGAGGUGCGAAAGCGUGGGGAGCAAACAGG